ACGCUCGACACCUACGGGGGGCAGCAGUCGGGAAUAUUGCGCAAUGGAGGAAACUCUGACGCAGUGACGCCGCGUAUAGGAAGAAGGUUUUUCGGAUUGUAAACUAUUGUCGUUAGGGAAGAGAAAGGACAGUACCUAAGGAGGAAGCUCCGGCUAACUACGUGCNGNCGCGAGUAUNGAGGCGGNGNGAGAGC
rnacentral:rRNA from 1 species